UACGUAGGGUGCAAGCGUUGUUCGGAAUCAUUGGGCGUAAAGCGCGUGUAGGUUGCUUAGCAAGUCGGUUGUGAAAUGCCUGGGCUUAACCGAGGAAGUGCAUCCGAAACUUCUAAGCUAGAGAUUGGUAGAGGAAGGUGGAAUUCCAAGUGUAGAGGUGAAAUUCGUAGAUAUUUGGAGGAAUACCGGUGGCGAAGGCGGCCUUCUGGGCCACAUCUGACACUGAGACGCGAAAGCGUGGGGAGCAAACAGG
rnacentral:rRNA from 1 species